rnacentral:rRNA from 1 species
GUAAUCGCAAAUCAGCCAUGUUGCGGUGAAUACGUUCCCGGGUCUUGUACUCACCGCCCGUCACACCAUGGGAGUUGUGUUUGCCUUAAGUCAGGAUGCUAAAUUAGCUACUGCCCACGGCACACACAGCGACUGGGGUGAAGUCGUAACAAGGUAACCGUAGGUGAACCUGCGGUUGGAUCACCUCCUUUCUAGAG